rnacentral:rRNA from 1 species
GACGAACGCUGGCGGCGUGCUUAACACAUGCAAGUCGAACGGUGAAGCUCCAGCUUGCUGGAGUGGAUCAGUGGCGAACGGGUGAGUAACACGUGAGCAACCUCCCCCUGACUCUGGAAUAAGCGCUGGAAACGGCGUCUAAUACUGGAUACGAGAAGGGUCCGCAUGGGCACUUCCUGGAAAGUUUUUCGGUUGGGGAUGGGCUCGCGGCCUAUCAGCUUGUUGGUGAGGUAAUGGCUCACCAAGGCGACGACGGGUAGCCGGCCUGAGAGGGCGACCGGCCACACUGGGACUGAGACACGGCCCAGACUCCUACGGGAGGCAGCAGUGGGGAAUAUUGCACAAUGGGCGAAAGCCUGAUGCAGCGACGCCGCGUGAGGGAUGACGGCCUUCGGGUUGUAAACCUCUUUCAGCAGGGAAGAAGCGAAAGUGACGGUACCUGCAGAAGAAGCACCGGCUAACUACGUG